UGUAAGCGUAUACCAAAGUUGUUGCAGUUAAAACGCUCGUAGUCGGAAUUUGGCAGUUCCGGAUGUGUGCACGUCGUGUGCGCACUUCGCGGGGAUUGCUUUUGUGGUCUUGCGUAGGAUGAGGCACUUUUAUUAGUGAACGUCCUCACGCAACCACUUUUUACUGUGAGAAAAUCAGAGUGCUCAAAGCAGGCAUUUGCCGUGAAGGUAUUAGCAUGGAAUAAUAGAAUAGGACUUGGUUCUAUUUUGUUGGUUUGUUGGGACUGAGUAAUGAUUAAGAGGGACAGUUGGGGGCAUUUGUAUUUCGGUGCUAGAGGUGAAAUUCUUAGAUUACCGAAAGACAAACUGCUGCGAAAGCGUCUGCCAAGGAUGUUUUCAUUGA
rnacentral:rRNA from 1 species